rnacentral:rRNA from 1 species
CGAACGGGUGAGUAACGCGUGAGGAACCUGCCUCAAAGAGGGGGACAACAGUUGGAAACGACUGCUAAUACCGCAUAAGCCCACGGCUCGGCAUCGAGCAGAGGGAAAAGGAGCAAUCCGCUUUGAGAUGGCCUCGCGUCCGAUUAGCUAGUUGGCGAGGUAACGGCCCACCAAGGCAACGAUCGGUAGCCGGACUGGGAGGUUGAACGGCCACAUUGGGACUGAGACACGGCCCAG